GCUGUGGACGAGGAAUAUCAUCACCAUCUCUCAAACCGCAAUCCUUGUUGCUACAGUAAAUAUUGCAAUCAUCGGAGGGAAAUCCUUAUGCUAUCGCCAUCAUUCUUAUAUAGUUCUCUCCCCAUUCGAUAUAUCAUCAUUGGCUAUCCUUUCUCUAUUUCAGAUGUCGAAGAUAUUACAAGGAUUGACAUUUCCACCUGUUAUAGUACUCCAUUAUGGUGGGAUAUUUUUUUUCAUUUUUUUCCAUCAUUUAAAUCUCUCUAGGAGUCUGAGAGAAAAGAUGUAGAGAUUCAGAGAGUGUUUGGUUGAAAGAAGUUGGGAUCUG
rnacentral:lncRNA from 1 species